rnacentral:rRNA from 1 species
UACGUAGGGUGCAAGCGUUGUCCGGAAUUAUUGGGCGUAAAGAGCUCGUAGGUGGUCUGUCGCGUCGGCUGUGAAAACUCGGGGCUCAACCCCGAGCCUGCAGUCGAUACGGGCAGACUUGAGUGCGGUAGGGGAGACUGGAAUUCCUGGUGUAGCGGUGAAAUGCGCAGAUAUCAGGAGGAACACCGGCGGCGAAGGCGGGUCUCUGGGCCGUAACUGACACUGAGGAGCGAAAGCGUGGGGAGCGAACAGGAUUAGAUACCCUGGUAGUCCACGCCGUAAACGUUGGGCGCUAGGUGUCGGGGACCUUCCACGUCCUCGGUGCCGCAGCUAACGCAUUAAGCGCCCCGCCUGGGGAGUACGGCCGCAAGGCUAAAACUCAAAG